UGGCUCAGUCGGUUGAGCAUCUGACUUCAGCUCAGGUCAUGAUCUCACAGUUUGUGGGUUCGAGCCCCAC
rnacentral:tRNA from 1 species